rnacentral:rRNA from 1 species
GUAAGGAAUAUUGGUCAAUGGACGAAAGUCUGAACCAGCCAUGCCGCGUGGAGGAUGAAGGUCCUCUGGAUUGUAAACUUCUUUUAUCUGGGACGAAAAAAGGUCUUUCUAGAUCGUCUGACGGUACCAGAUGAAUAAGCACCGGCUAACUCCGUGCCAGCAGCCGCGGUAAUACGGAGGGUGCAAGCGUUAUCCGGAUUCACUGGGUUUAAAGGGUGCGUAGGUGGGUUGGUAAGUCAGUGGUGAAAUCUUCGAGCUUAACUCGGAAACUGCCAUUGAUACUAUCAGUCUUGAAUAUUGUGGAGGUUAGCGGAAUAUGUCAUGUAGCGGUGAAAUGCUUAGAUAUGACAUAGAACACCAAUUGCGAAGGCAGCUGGCUACACAUAUAUUGACACUGAGGCACGAAAGCGUGGGGAUCAAACAGGAUUAGAUACCCUUGUAGUCC